rnacentral:rRNA from 1 species
CCCUUAGAUGUCCUGGGCCGCACGCGCGUUACACUGAUGCAUUCAACGAGCUUAUAACCUUGGCCGAGAGGCCUGGGCAAUCUUGUUAACGUGCAUCGUGAUAGGGAUAGAUUAUUGAAAUUAUUAAUCUUGAACGAGGAAUUCCUAGUAAACGCAGAUCAUCAAUCUGCAUUGAUUACGUCCCUGCCCUUUGUACACACCGCCCGUCGCACCUACCGAUUGGAUGGUCCGGUGAAGCCUCGGGAUUGUGGUUCUUGCCGCUUUAUUGUGGCGUGACCGCGAGAACUUGUCUAAACCUUAUCAUCUAGAGGAAGUAAAAGUCGUAACA